ACCUGCGGAGGGAUCAUUACUGAGUUUACGCUCUACAACCCUUUGUGAACAUACCUAUAACUGUUGCUUCGGCGGGUAGGGUCUCCGCGACACUCCCGGCCUCCCGCCCCCGGGCGGGUCGGCGCCCGCCGGAGGAUAACCAAACUCUGAUGUAACGACGUUUCUUCUGAGUGGUACAAGCAAAUAAUCAAAACUUUUAACAACGGAUCUCUUGGUUCUGGCAUCGAUGAAGAACGCAGCGAAAUGCGAUAAGUAAUGUGAAUUGCAGAAUUCAGUGAAUCAUCGAAUCUUUGAACGCACAUUGCGCCCGCCAGCAUUCUGGCGGGCAUGCCUGUUCGAGCGUCAUUUCAACCCUCAAGCUCUGCUUGGUGUUGGGGCCCUACAGCUGAUGUAGGCCCUCAAAGGUAGUGGCGGACCCUCCCGGAGCCUCCUUUGCGUAGUAACUUUACGUCUCGCACUGGGAUCCGGAGGGACUCUUGCCGUAAAACCCCCAAUUCUCCAAAGGUUGACCUCGGAUCAGGUAGGAAUACCCGCUGAACUUAAGCAUAUCAAA
rnacentral:rRNA from 1 species